rnacentral:rRNA from 1 species
UACGUAGGGGGCAAGCGUUGUCCGGAAUUAUUGGGCGUAAAGAGCUCGUAGGCGGCUGUUCAAGUCGAACGUGAAAACUCGGAGCUCAACUCCGAGCCUGCGUUCGAUACUGGACGGCUAGAGUCUGGUAGGGGGAUCUGGAAUUCCUGGUGUAGCGGUGGAAUGCGCAGAUAUCAGGAGGAACACCGAUGGCGAAGGCAGUUCUCUGGGCCGUAACUGACGCUGAGGAGCGAAAGCGUGGGGAGCGAACAGG